rnacentral:lncRNA from 1 species
AUAAAAGGGUAGGUACUAUUUAUUUUAGGAUAUAUAAUGAUAGCCCCAUGGACAGUUGCUCUAGUCCAAUCACUAUGAGCAUGCCACCAUAAAGUCCCUUCUUCUUCUGAAAAAAUCACUUUUUGUCUGAAUUUCUUUCCAGGUUGAAUUGGACACUGAGUUAUAUACUCAGGACCAUCUGGCCAUGGAUUCCUAGGCUGCUUCACUCCAUGCCUGCCCAUUUAAUAAGUUAUAGUAAUUAAAAACUUUAAUUAAUUUACCAUCCAUUAUAUAUGUUGUGUUUUCCAUGUGUCAUAAAAAAUUUAGAAAUUAAUACCAAUGUAUAGUUAUGUUGUGUUUUCCCUUGUUAUAAACAUUAACAUAAAUUGUAUCACCAUUGUGGACUCUUAUAGUUGGCCCUGGAAAUUUUCCAUUCACAGUCAAUAUGCUUUUUGUGCUACACAGUCUUGUGUAACGAGCUUCUUUCACCUGCAAUAUUAAUCAAUUAUUACAUGCAUGCAUGUAUGUCUUGAUUAACUUAUGAUCUAAGAUACUCUUAUUGUAUACUCUUAUUAUAUUUGUGACAAAUAUUAUACAAACGUGUUUCAACUACAUACCAAACAGUUUCAUGCAACAAUCUUAGUUUAGUAAAAAAUUAAAAAGAUGCAAAUUAUGGUUAUGAUUGCUAACAAAAAUCCAUAAAAAUUGUCACGAAAUGAGAGGACUCACAACAAAAUUAUAAUGCCUUCGAGUUUGGAAUUGGGAACUAAGAGCAAUCAAAGAAGAAAUCAAAAGAAUUUGGAGGAACAAUUCAUUGUAAAAUGACAUUUUCAUGAAUGAAAAUGUGUAAACACUCGUUCUAUAAUAUGCUAUUCAGAAUAAUUUGUUUGGGUUAUGAAAGCAUUUGUGUUGAAGGGGUUUUUAUACUUGAAGUGUGAGAUAUGUGUUUGGCCAACUUUUUUGGGUCAUAAAUGCUACUUUGAAGUUAAUGCUAGAGAUAAAAAAUUUAANNNNNNNNNNNNNNNNNNNNNNNNNNNNNNNNNNNNNNNNNNNNAUUUUAAUUUUUUUAUAUUAGAAAUUGUUUUUGAGCUAAAAGUUGUUUGAUAUAAUAUUAAUUAAUUCAAAAGGUCUUAUUUUAAUAUAAGAUACCAUAGAUGAAUUAUAUAUUUACAGAAGAAAUCAAAUUUCUACAAAAGUAAAUAAAUUAAUGAAUAAGGAAUAUGAAUUUUUUACAAGUGACAAAUAAAGAUUAAAAUAUUAUAUUCUAUUGAAAUAUUUCAUUUUUUUAUCAUAUUUUUACUGAAUAAUAAUUCUGGUAUAAUAUUUUAUUCCAUAAAAAAAAUUAUGACUUUCUUGAAUAAGAUUAAAAUAUUAUAUUCUAUUAAAAUAUUUUACUUUUUGAUAAUUAAUAUGUUAUAAGUUAUACUAAUAUAUUUUUAAUAUGAUAAAACUAUGACAUCAUUAUUGUAAUUUUAAUAAAUAAACAACAUAUUAUACUGUAAUAUUCUUUUGAUGAAAUAUUAUAUUGUAACAUUUAGAUAACAUGCUUUUUUUUUUUAUAAUAAUAUUUACCAUAACACUGAUUCAUAUUUGUCAAUAUAUAUUACCAUGAAUAUGCUUUUUCUUUCACACAAAUAACAUGCUUGAUAAGGUUUCCAUAACUUUCCGAAUUAUGUAAAAAGAAUAAAAUUAAAAUACUUAUAAAAAAAUAUAAUAUAUAAAAUCAUAGCUAUAAACAAUAGAUAGACUAUUGACAUGUAGGGCGCGUUUGAUCUUUGAUCUGUCAAAAAAAUAAAGACUAAACAGGACAACUCUAGUGUACUUUGUUUGAUCGUAAAAUUGUUUUAGAGACGGGACAAAUUGGGAGGUAAGGGACAAGACAAAAACAGAGAAAUUUAUGUACCUCAAUAAACCACAACACAACUUUUUGUCCCAAGUACAAGUUGCCUAAAAUACCAAAAUACUAUUUUGUUCACCAAAUAUCAUAUAAGACAAAAAAAAAUUGUUCAAUAUCAUAAAAGUUUGUUUUGUGUUGUUCUGUCAUGUGUUUGUUAUGUCUUGUACUAUUUUGUCUUAUACUGUUCUGUCUAGUACUUACCCUUUAACAAAUCAAACACACCCGUAGGGAUGGAUUCAAAAAUCAAUCAUGACGGACCUAAUUUUUUUUAAUAAUAAAUGGUAGAUUAAAAUAUGUUUUUGAUCCUUACAAAAUCACAAGUUUUUUCCAUUUAGUCCUUUUAAAUUUUAAUUGUAAAUUUAAUUCUCUAAAAUAUUGCUAUUUUAAAUUCUAUUUCUACUCAAACACUCAUAAAUAUAUGAUAUCUGCGUAGAAAACAUGCAUGCAUGUGGGAGAGGCCCCUGCAAAGAAAACGAAUGAUUCCUAUAAUUCAUUCCCCCACAAAACAUGGUUUGUAUAAUAGUGGUCCAAAAACACACACAAUUCAGACGUAGCUAAGCAUCUCUAUUAUUUGGUUUGGAAAGAAAAGGAAAGUAGAGAACAUAUCCAGUUACAAACUGCAUUAUUCCUCUCCCCCACUACUAUUAUAGUAAAAAUAUAAAAAACAUUAAAUUUUAGACCCUUAUUAGAAAAUGUUAUGAUAACAACAGAUACUCACUUCCAAUAUAGCGAGGGCAUGUUUGGUGCGCAAAAUAGAAUAACGAUAAGAUACGAUAAGAAGCUGGAUAAAGAUAUGAUAAAAUAGCGACAGGAUAAACACAUAUCAUGUCAUGUAUUUGAUGCAAAUAGGAUAAGAAUGAUGAUAUAUCAUUAUUUUAUCAUAUCAUGUGUUUGGUGCACACUUGAUAUCGACAUGAUAAGAUUAAAUGAAAAACUUAUUAUUAUAAAACAAAUACAUUUUUUUAUAUAAGAAUUUUUUUAAAUUAACAUAAAAUAAUAAAUAAAAUUUUAAAAAAAACAUGAAGAAAUAUAUUGCUAAAAUUUAAAUUGUAUCAAAUUAAAAUUGUCAUACACAUAAGUAGCAAGAAAUCAAUGAAGCAACAAAACAACGAUAAAGCAUCAGGCCCAUUCUCAAUAUUUUUAUCAAACCAUACUUAAAUCAAAAUUUUGUAAAAUUUAUAUUCGUUAAAGCAUUAUUGAACGGUGUAACAUUAUUCAAAUGUUAUACCGAUAUAAUUUGAUGUCUCUCGGUAAAAUAAAAAGUUAAUAAAGAUUAUUAUGGGCUAGAAAGCUAGGCGUAAGAUAAAUAUGGUGAAUAAAGAAUAAUAAAAAUUCAUCUAAGUGCCUUCGGCAGGAAUCGAAGGCGUGUAAGUUUAACAAAUCCUAUCAUGUUGUUAUCCUAACUUAAAAUAAGGAUUAGAAUUAUAAAAAGUCGUCCUAUUGAUGCACGCACCAAACAAAAAAUUUAAACAAGAUAGAUUAAUUUUAUACUAUUAUGUCUCCUUAUCCAACGCAUCAAACGGAUCCUGAAGGAAUAGGUAAUUGGUUUUUUUUUAUACUCAUAGUCCAGUAUUAGUUAUAAAUGUAGAUUAUCCACCACCAUCACGUGAAGGAAUAGUUUUGGAAAAGGAAAAAAAAAAACACAUUUUUUAAAUCAUUAUUUAACAUUUGAUUUAUUUGGUCUGUGUGAAUUUCUAGAUUGUGAAGCAUUUUUUUUUUUAUGUAAACCAAAAAAAAAGAUUUUUUUUUAUAAGCAAAAUAUAUUAUAAAGGAGUAUAAGGGAUACUCAAACCCUUACAACGCAAAGUAAGAAAUCACAUUCUUUGAAUACAAGUCAUAUGAUCAUGACACCAAUUCGAAAAAGACAUAGAAGUACAAGAAUGAUGACCAUACCGACCGUUAAACCACAACCAAGAGUUAGCUAUAAUAUCUUCCACAAGAGAUGAAGCAUUUGGAAUGACGCCAUUGAAUACCACGUUGUUUCCAAGCUUCCAUAUGUUCCAUGUAACCAAAACAAAUGUCUAACGCGCUCACCUUUCUUCGCUGUUAUCAUAUCGUCAAACAACAAGAAAUGGUUCCAACCUUCUGCACCUGCUGAUAUACUCUUCAUUCCUAAUCAUCUAUAAACUGAUUCCCACACGCCUUUACUAAACGCGCAGUGAAAAAAGAGAUGGGAGCAAUCCUCCUGAUAAAGAAAACAAAAGAUACAAGACAAAUCAUGCGGGUUAACCAAUAUAUCUCUUCGAUUAAGCGCUAUCCUCGUAGGUAGUCUAUCUAAUAAUAACCUCCGGCCAAAAACAUUAACUUGGAUGGUGCAUUAUUCCUCCACAACUUUUUAAUAGCAGACAACACAUUAGAAUUCAAAACAUCAACCUGACGAUGUUCUAAUAACCACUGGUAACAAGAUUUAACGAAAAAAAUACUAGCUAUUCCAGGCAGCCAUCGCCAUCUAUCAUGAGAGUUCGGAUGAAGUGAAAAGGCUAACAACAAUUCCUUAAGAUCUUUCAAUUGUUGUUCCUUAAUUUCUAAUGACUGAACAGUCCAUUGCCAUGACCACAAAGAAUGCUCAUCAUUCCCAACAACCCUCCCUGCUAUCAUAACAUCCGUGAUACCUCUUUUUCAAAAUGAAUAGGAAAUAAAUCUUUAAAUGAUUCGCUCCCAAACCAUUUAAACUUCCAAAAACUAAUAUUAUUACCAUCACCAACACAACAUGCUACAUUUAGUUUAAACCAAUCAUCCUCUACCCCCCUACCCAAGCCUAUAAUGUCCUUCCACCAAAUCGAUGUCUUUGCUCCCGUUAGAGUCGUAUCUCUACCCAACAAUUGAGUAGGCAAGUGACCGUACCUAAACUGUAAUUGUAUUAUCAAAGGGAUUGGAGGCAUGAGUGAAUUUAGACAUUACAUAUUUGUUACACAUCUCAAUAACGUUUUAACCGAUAUAAAUUUUAUAAAAUCACCGUUGGAUUGAAAGUUUAUAUCAUAUAGAUCAUUUAUGUAAAAUUUCAAAUAAAUCCAAAAUCAUUUGAUAUGCUAUUGAGACACAUAAAGAUUAACGACAUUUAAAAAAAAAACGUUAGUUUUGAUGUAUCUUAAUAACAUAUCAAAUGAUUUUGAAUUUAUUUGAAAUUUUAAAUAAUGAUCUAUAUGAUAUAAAUUUUCAAUCCAACGGUGAUUUUAUAAAAUUUAUAUCGGUUAAAACGUUAUUGAGAUGGUAACAUUUGAUGUCAAACAAGCUGGUGUCAAUGGAUCCUGACUCAUGUAGUAAUUAUAAUAUGUAGUAUAAUAUAUUAAACGUGAUCAUAGUAUAAUAUAUACUCCAUCUGUCCCAAAUUAUAAGGGAAAAAAUCCUAUUUUUUUUGUCCCAAAUUAUAAGCGAAAAACCAUUUUCAAGAAUGUUUUUUUCCUUAGGGUGCGUUUGAUUCGUAAAACAGCAAGGACUGGACAGAACAGUACAGGACAAAACAAGAUAAUACAGGACAGGACAAACCUGUACCGGAAAGAUAUAGGACGAUAAUAUUUUUAUAUUCGAAAAUAAAANNNNNNNNNNNNNNNNNNNNNNNNNNNNNNNNNNNNNNNNNNNNNNNNNNNNNNNNNNNNNNNNNNNNNNNNNNNNNNNNNNNNNNNNNNNNNNNNNNNNUCUCUCUCUCUCUCUCUCUCUCUCUCUCUCUCUCUCUCUCUCUCCCUUUUUUUCAAUAAACAACCACCAAUAAAAUUGUUUUUACAUCAUCUCAUGCAACUUAUUUCAAGGAAAUCUCACAUAAACAUAUUUCAAAUUAUCGUGUUUUACUUUUUUAAUAAGUGUGAUUUUGUUUUUUACCUUAUAAUUUGGGACGGAGGGAGUAGCAAUUAUAAUAAUGUAGUAAAAAAAAGAUUGAAUAUGUAUUAAUUGUAUAAAAUAAGUGGGUUGAUUUCUAUUUAAACAAAAGUAGGCUUUGAUUUCAUAUUUAGGGUCCGUUUGGUGCACAGGAUAAGAGACAGGAUAGGAUAACUGUAUCAUAUCUUGCCGCAAUCCAGUGUUUGGUGAUACAGCAAGAUAUGAUAAGUUAAUCCUGAAGCUUAUCCUAUUCUGUCUCUCUAGUUAUAAUUCUUAUUCUGAAUUUGAGCUGGGUUACCAGCAGGAUAGGAUAAGAAAAAAAAUUACUGAUUUAUUUUAUAAAAUAUAUUUUAAAAUACAUAAAAUAAAAUUAAUAAAAUAUAAAUAAUAAAAUAAUUAAUUUAAAUAUAUAUGUGAUUUUCUCACAGGGGUAAUUUUGUAAUUUAUAUAUUCUAAAAAAUCAAAAUUUUACUAAAAUUAAAAUAUUUUAAAGUAAAAUGAUUAUUAAAAAAUUGACAAAUAGGGAUAUUAAUUUAAAUUUUAUAAAAAAUUAAAUAUAUCAUAUAUUUAUUUGGCUUAUCUAACAUGUAUAUAUUAUUGAGUUAUUUAUUUGAUCAUGAUUCAUAUAAAAAAUUAAACUUGAUUAUUUUCUCAUGAUUUUUAUUUGAAAUUAUAUAAAGUUAUCUGAUUACUUAUUUAUAUUUUUUAUUUAUAAAAUUCAAAGUAUUACAAAAUAAUUUUAAAAAAAUAACAAUUGUUUUACAAGAGUAAUUUUGUCAUUUAAAUAUGUUAUAUAUCUUAUCAUAUUAUUAUGAGAUAUUAAAAACAAAAUUAUAAUAGUUAUCAUGUUUGUUAUUCUGUGUGCACCAAACACAUGAUAUGAUUACUGAGUAUAAUUGUUAUCCUGCUGUUAUCAUAUCUUAUCCUUAUCAUGUUUUAUAUCUUAUCCUGUCACUAUGCUACCCUGCGCACCAAACGAGCCCUUAUUAUAUUAGAUGUUGGUUACAAAAUUAUAUCAAAUUGAUUGACAUAACUUAGUGGCAAAUGCACUAAAUAAUUCUUAGAUGAUAUGAGUUCGAUUCUUGCUGAGUUAUUUUUUUAACAUUUUAUUUGAAUUAAAUUAGGGUAAAAAUGAGAGGGAGAAAGAUUAGGUUUUGGGUUAGCAAAAUAUUACAAACUUGGAAUAUAAGAGAUAAGAGAUAAGCCACUAGGCUACCUGACCAAAAAAAAAAAAGAGAUAAGAGAUAAAAAUGCUAUUUAGUAAGAAUUUUUGUAUGCAAGAAAAAGAAGAAUCUUAUGUGGCAAUAUUUAACACUUACAAAUUAUAAUUACUCUAUCUCCCAUGUAUGGUUAUCGAAUCUUUUAUCUUUGAUUGGUCAGAUUUCCUAUUUUUGUGGAUUCUUAUCUUUCUUGUGUAAAUAUUUCUUACUAAAUAGCAAUGUUCAAAAUUUAUUUUCUUGAUUAGACUUUCUAAAUUUGUCUCUUAUAAAAAUGAUCGAAUGGAGUAUUAUUUAUAGGGAAAAAUUAACAUAUGUCAUUAAGACAUAAUGAUUCAAAAUAAAUAAAUGUUUUAUUGUAAUUCGUGCAUCUAAUUUACUUUUUAAACUUUUCACAAAUUAAUUGCACAACUUUUAAGGAAAUGUUUUUAUUUUUGAAUUUUUAACAUGUGCAUUAGAACAUACAAUAUAUGUGAGUACAUGUUAGCGAGAUCGUUAAUUAUAAUGUAUUGGAUCUUGUUUAAUCACCAUUACGAUAAAUACAUACUAGAAUAUACUCCAUCAGACCCUUUUUUUUAUAAAGAACACUUUGAAAAAUCACACAGACCAAAUAAACUAAUUUUUCUCAUUAAUAAUUCUAAAAUUUUAUGUUUCAUUCUAAAACCAACCCUCGUCUAGCAUGAAAAAUAAGUCUCUCUAAUUAAUGCACUGGCAUUGGAAUGAAUUAUUUGAUUUUAUUUAGUAAGAACACAAAUGGAAUUGUGUAUUUAAUAAAGAAUAAAUUUAAAAAGUGUUUCCUAUAAAAGGACAAAUAAAAUUUAAAAAUUGCUUAUGUCUUAGAUGAAGUGAUAAUCCACUUAAAUUAAACUCAUGUAUAAUUGUGAGAUCCCUGGUUCGAACCCGAGUCAUGAUGUCCGAUCUAACAAAUUCAUAAGAGAUAAAUUAUGACAUUUUUUUGGAUGUUUAUAAAAUAAACAAUCAUCAAAUUUUAACUCUAUUGAAUUUCGGGGGACAUAAACCUUAACUAGUAAGUCCACACAAAAGCAUAACACUACUAAUGAACAGGUAGAUUAAUAACCGAAUUUAGGGAGGGUAUACAAUCCCUCACAACCUGUGACAGGAUUAGUUACGAAAAGUGAUGAUUUUACUUAGAAUAAUUUUUUUUUAAUUUUAGUGAUGUAAUUUAUUACAAUUAGUUUCUCUCACGAAUAUUUCGUCAUAAAAUCGGUCACAAAUUUAAUUAGUUUUUUGCUUUAUUAGAGAAUCUGUCACAAAAUACGGUCUCAAAUAUUUUUUUAGUGAGGGAAAUAUUCCGUUAUAAACAUGGUAAAUGUUAUAAAAUUUGUGAGGGAAUUAUUUCAUCACAAACAAUUAUUUUAAAAUAUAAAGACAAUUUAUAUUUUAUUUUGUUUUCGAUUAGAAAACACACAAACUAUGCAUUCUGAAAAUCACACACAAAAGCGCUUUCUGGAAAUCGCUUUCCCGCUCACAAACUCGCAUUCCCUUUUCGUUUCUUCUUCGGAGCUUACACACUGAAGAUUCCACACUGUAAGUGAAAUCUCUCUCUCUCUCUCUCUCUCUCUCUCUNNNNNNNNAGUAAAAAAUCUGUUAAGAGCGAAGAUUAAUUAAGAAAUUAGGGUUAAGACUGCAAGUUGAACUAUAUUGAAUUGAAACAUAGCCUAAAUAAUUUUUGUUGACAUUUUUUAAUUUUUGAAUUGAAAUAAGGAUUGUAAGACAUUUUUGAAUUUUUGAUAAUAUUUGUUGAAUUAUGAUGUGUUUUUUGGUUGUGAACUUUGUUUCAAUUAUGAUAUAUCUGUCCAUAGUUUAGACACAAUAAUCUCAACGAACUGGUUGAACUAAGUAGCUGAAUUAUGAUGUGUUUGUGUAUUUUUUGGGUAAAUAGAUCAAAAAUUGCUUUAGUCUUUUCAUUGUGUUUAUUUUUCUUAUUAUAACACGUAGUCAUUUGUUAUUAGUUGAAUGCAUUCUUUUGCGGUUUCGGUAAACCUGUUUUGUGCUUGGCAUGAUCAUUAACAGUUAGGGUGCUUCCUGUCCAAGUCUCUUGAUGGUGGCUAGUGUAGUUAUAGGUUUUUUUGAAGUUGGAUUAUCCACAAGUUAAGAGAUUUUGCUGAACUUAUUCACACAGACCAAUAAAAUUGACUAUCUUAUUACCUUAUUUUAUAAAACCUGCUAACAUAUACACUACUUUUGUUGUUGGUACAUAUUCAGGUGUAAAUGACUUUGGCAGGACUUUAUUUCAUGUACAAACUAGUUAUUUGUUUCUUACUCAUAUUUCACAAGUUUGGAUAUUUUGGGGUUCUCUUCUCAUUCAUUCGUACCACUUCUAUAGUUGUUAUGUGCAUAUAACUUUCGCUUCAUGCAAGUGUGGUGGAGACUAGAGACCUUUAAGUUCUUUGAUGUUGUUCUUUGUUUAUUCUUUUCAGUUCACUUCUAAUAGGUAAUACCACCCUGUAGUUCUUACUCAGUUGAAAAUGAUUUGGUUGAGUUAGACAAUUGGGAUGGUGAUAGAAACUCAAAAACAUCUCUUCUACAAUGUCAUGAAGCAUGAUAAAACCAUUGACUGCAUCCUUCAUUAUGAAAAUAUUUAUAUGAAAAACAGACAGUGCUGGUGCUAUUUCCUUUUUAUGUUCUUACUGUCCAAAGUAAGAGUUAUACUUUUUUAAAAUAAUAUUGGAUUAUUCUCAGGUAUGAAUAAAUAAUAUUGGAUUAUUUACUACUUUGAUACACAGUUUUGGUGUGUAGUUCUAUGUGGUUUUGCUGCUUCAUAUAGGUAAUUUAGCAAGGAAUAACUUGUGUUUAAAAUUGAUAUAAUUAAUUUUCUUGUGUGUUCAAAGGAUAGCUUGAACAAUUUUGUUUAUAAAUAUUCUCUGAGUUUAUGUUUUACUCUCUUUUGAGCUCAGAGUAGUUUUGAUUUCUUAGGUUGGUUUAUAGGAGUUAGAUUUUAUUUAGAGAAUUUUGUGUAGUCUCUCAAUUGGGAAAUGAGAGGUUUGUUUUCUAAACUAAUGAUCUAUGGUUUAUAUAUAUAUUUUUUUUUGAACAGCCUAUGGUUUAUAUAUCUGUUUCUUUGUCACAGGCUAUUGUAGCAGAUCUGCAGGAGACAAUUCACAAGUGAAGUAAGUGACCAAUUUUUUUUAUGUAUAAGUUACACUUUUAUAAGUAAUAUCUGAGAAGAAAAAUGACCAAAAUCAAAUUAGUCUUAUGCUUAUGCCUUGAUGGGUCUAAGAUGUUUCUAUAUAUUGUUCUAGUUAUUUCUAUAAUAUAUUUUGAGCACAUGUUAUACCUACUACAACCUGCUAUCAAUUAUUGUUUAUAGUGUUGGUUAAACUGAUUUUAAACUUGAUUUUUUAAAUAUGCAUACAUAGAUCGCAGAUAAUGAUAACACGAAAGGUGGAGGAAGAGGUUCCGGUAGAGGUAUCAAUAGAGGUAGGAAAGGCAGGGGUACCGCCACUUUGUCACAAUCUAAUAUUGGGCAACCUACAAAUCCUACCACAACUCAACUAGCUACAAAUACCCAACUUCUCCACCCUACUCCUCAUCUCUCAUCUAAGAGAGGUAGCGGUACCACUACAUCACAAUCUAAUAUUGGGCAACACAAAUCCUUCCACAUCUCGCACAACCACAAAUACCCAACUUUUUCACCCUACUCCUCGUCUUUCAUCUAAGAGAGGUAGCGGUACCACUACUUCACCACAAUCUAAUAUUGGGCAAACUACAAAUCCUUCCAUAUCUUGCAUAACUAUACAUACCGAACUUCCCUUCUCUACUCCUCAUCUUUCAUCUAAAAGAGGUAGGGGUACCACUACUUCAUGACAAGCUAGUAUUGAGCAAACUACAAAUCCUUCCAUAUCUCGCAUAACUACACAUACCGAACAUCCCUACUCUACUCCUCCUCUUUCAUCUAAAAGAGGUAGGGGUACCACUACUUCAUCACAAGCUAAUAUUGAGCAAACUACAAAUCCUUCCACAUCUCGCACAACUACACAUACUGAACUUCCCCACUCUACUCCUAGCCCACCUAUUUCUCCUACACCUAGCAUGUCACAUGUCCCAUCUGCUGCUGCAUCUGGUGAUGAUCCACAUGUUGAUUCACCACCUCAAAUUGGGAGUAAGGACCCUAGUGAUGGGCAUAUUUGGAUUCGUCCAGGACCAACAAAAACGUAAGUUUUUAUAACUUUUUUUCCCUUUAAUUCUAACAUAACUUAUGUUGUGUAUCUUACAGUUUAUUUAAUAUUGUUUUUAUAGAUUUGACCCUUGUGUUAAGCCCACACGUGAGAUUAUAAAAAUUAUUAAACGUAAGUUUGAAGGGUCUUGGGCAACAUAUGGAGAUAUAAAGGGGAAAAAAAGGAUAAAGACGAAAAUGAUAGACAAAAAUGAUAAAGAUGUGGCUGAUUUGUGGUUUGGAGAGUUUAAGGUAUGAAAGUAUGCAUGGAUAUUCGAGUAACUUGAUAUUCAUUUUUUUCCCCCAUUAAAUUGCACUUGAAUGGAUAAUUGAGUAACUUGGAAGUAUGCAUAGAUAUUUGAGUUCUGUGCGGGCUGUUUUAGCAUGAAUAUUUGAGUAAUUUGAUAGUUAUUUUCACUCUAGAAAGACUGCACGUGCAUAUUUGAUUUCAUUAAUAUUAGGGGACUACUCAUCAGUUGUUAUUUUAAAGAUUUGAUUUCAUUAAUAUUAGUGGACUACCCUGUUAGUAUUGCUCCAAGUUCUUCCGUAGGUGAUGGAGUCUUCAAUCUAUAGACAAAAAUGGAUUUGGUGGAACCAAAAUUAGCACUGUUAAUCCUUACACUGUAAUGGAGACUUCAAUCUAUAAUACUAUAUGUGAAAUCUAUGUGUGUAAAGUAUUAUGUGAAAUAAGUGUUGUUCUGUUGAUGUAUGAUAAGUAUUCUUUACUAACUUAUAAGGUUUAUAACUUUAUAUUGUAGAGGAAGUAUAAGUGGCUACCGGAACAUGAGGAUGACAUUAGGAAGUAUAAGUAUAGCACAAUUCAAACAAUUUAUAUCCAACUUCUAAAUAAUUCUACCAGACUAAGUCUACAUUUUGGUGAAUAGACCAAUCAUCAACAGAAACUGAUCCAAAAACCAACAACUCCCUGCGGCGAACCACAACAAGCAAAGAGACUCUUUCGAGCCAUAUAGUUUAACGUCAAAGAAAGUGAUGACGAGAUAUCAUGAACAGUCCAAAAUCAAUCUCAAGUAAGAAAAGUCCAAAAGGUUCAUCAACAAGGGGGCAUGUCCGGCGGCGGUGGCAGUAAUGUUUCAUUCGAAGCUUUGCCAUUCUUCACAAUAAACACCGUCUCCAUGCCCCAAGAGAGGUGGCGUUCAAGAUGACAGUGCAGGAACCAUACUCCUGAAAUUGAGUGCGCAGUUCACACAACAAUGAGUUUUGAACUAUAAGAUAAAUGAGGAGGAAAAUAGUUAAAUAGUAUAUAGAAUAUAUUGCAACGCCACAUACCCAGGUUGGUGAUAGAAUGAUUAGUUUUAAAUGAAUGUUGUUUAUUUUGCAUGGAUUUAAGUUUAUAUGUUCUUCAUAUUUUUUUUCUCUCUAUUUUUUCAUUUUUUCAAUAAAUUCAUGAUGACUUAGGAUCACGUUACCCUAAAAAAAAAGAUGUUUACUAUGUAUAACGGUAUAAGUUCAGUAAGGCACAUACCGGGGUUGGUGGCGACGAACCUAAUAGCCGCCCAUCCAUUUUUAGGCACCGUCACUGUAUUCACAAUCGGAGGAUCAACAAGAUUGUAAUUCAUGGGGUCCUUACUUUUGUUGAAAUUACCAAAUCCAUAUCCAACAACAUAGAAACUAUAUCCAUGUAGAUGCAUAGGAUGGUCUAACCCUGUAAUCAGAUUUGUCCCUUGGUAAACAAGUUCAACAUUUGAGCCAUAUUUUAUAACUUUAACUUUGGUUCCUCGCUUUGGUGUUUGCAAGGUCAAAGGCAAAGAAUCUCCUGUGAAGUUAAAUAUAUAACGUGGAAAAUUUGGAAAUCCCUUUUUGUAUACCCCAUGGAUAUGAUAGUAAUAAGCUUCUAGUAUGUCAAUGUUAGUGUUAACAAAGCUUAUGUUGUUCAUGCUAGCAGCUAAAAUGGUUCCAUUUGGACCUUCACAUGAUUGGUUAUUGGGACAUGGAAAGGUGUUGAUAGAAAUUGUGCUUAUUAUAUGAGUGUUGAUUUUUUUUGGGACACCAUUAGAGUACUUAUCAGGUAUACCUCUAAUGCUUGUGAUGAAGUCAAAAGCUGCUGAUGUGUCAUUAUAGUCUGGAAGAUAAGGUAAUGAAGGAACUGAAAGUGGAUUAUAACUCUCUUUGUAUUGUAAUAUAGCAGUGGUUGUGGUGUUAUCAAAAUCUACUCCUACUCCAGUUGAAUAUGCUCUUGCAGCCAUAUAGUAGUGAUCAGGUUCUUGGUUGGCAUGAAGCAAUAUAUCCAUUGUGUUUCCUGGUGAUAUGCAAAUGUAAUCUCUUGUCAUUGGUUUGGUGUACAUAGCAUCAACACCGACAACAGUGAGUUUGUGUUUAGCAAUUGACAUAAAGAGAAUGAGAUUCAUUGCAGCAUUAACCACACGUAGAAGAUAUGUCUUUCCUUGCUCUACUCUUAGCUUGAAUGUUUCUGAAAAAUAAAAGAAAUCCAACGUUUAAAUAUACAAAAAUGUUUGUAUGUGAUAUAUUUCUUUUUUUUAGGUAAGACAUAUAAUUCUUCAAUAGUAGUAUAUUAAUGGUUAUUUUUAGAGUUUAAGGACUAUUUACUGAUAAAUGUACAAACACUACAAGAAAACACGAAUUUACUGGUGGCCUUUGGCCCUCAUAAAGUAGGAAAAGCCGUCAAUAAGUAAAGAAAUUGGACUAUUUACUUGCGGUUUACAUCUGUCGUAAGGCACUUGGUAAAUUUUACCGGCCAGGAUCACCACAAAAUAAUGGCUAUUGGUACUUUUAUUUACCGUGGCUUGAGCCGCGACUAACUUAUAUUAUUUUAAAAAAAAAAAAUUGAAAUUACAUAAACAAUACAUGGUCUUCUUUUAAUAACUUAUCUCAUUUUAAUAACUCAGUAGAAUUAGAAAAACAAAGUACAAUUGUUGGGUCUUCUUUAAAGGUACCCUUAAAUCCCAUAAACAAAAUCUCAAAAAUAGUGGUAGUUUGAGUCUUGUUUCCUCUCUGCUAACUGAGUAUACAUGGGAUUUGCCACUCUCGUUCUUCAAAACUCAAUCCCAAAAUCAAAAUCCCUAAUCGAGAAGCCAUUCUUGUGUUUUGCGGUUUCAGAAAAUUGAAGGUGGGAGAAAUGAGAGUGUUGUGUUUUGUUUAGUCAGAUAAAUGAAGGUGAGCUUUUUCUUGUAAAGUUCUGGGUGAUUUUGCGGCGGCCUAGGCCAUCAUUAAGUUAGCAAGUUGGCACCAUUUAUUGGCGGUUUUGGCUGUCAGGAAGUUACAUGGUCGUUCUUUUGAGGGAUUUUACUCACUUUGUGACGGUUUUGGCCGCCAAAAACUUAUCGGAGGUCCAAAAUGCCAGGAAGUAUAUAAUAAAUCCGUCAAAAAAACCAUGUAUUCUUGUAGUCAAAAUAGGCUGCUCCCAUCUGUUAGGGGCAUCUGUUUCUUCUUAUUUGGGCAGGUUCCUCUGUUAUCUCGGUUGGCAGUGGCUACUUGGUGGUUCCAUUUGUGUUUUUGUUUUUUCGUGUCUGCAGUGUUUAUCUCGUUGUACUCUUUGGUUUAGUUGAUUUUUAUCUUUAUAGAUUAUUUUGUCAUUAAAAAAGAAAUUACACAGAUAUUCAAUGAGAUAUCUUAUAAUGUUAUACCUCAUAAUAUUAUUUUCAAUAUAAGAAAGUUAAUGUAUUUGAUUCAAACCGUAAUGUUAUACUACAUCAUAAUGUUAUACAUCAUAAUAAAUAUAAGAAAGUUGAUGUAUUUGAUUCAAACCGUAAAUCAAAUACAUUAGUUUUCUUUGAUCAAAUUUAUUUAUAUUUGAGACAGAAGAAAGUCUAUAGUAAUAUUCGCACAAAAAUGUAUAGUGAUAUUGUAUCCAUCUCAAACAUGUCUUUUACUAAUGAAGUAUUCAUUCGAUCAUCACUUUUACUCUACAUGUUCUCUGUUUUUGACUCUUUCAUAUUCACAAAAUAGACAAAAAAAAAAACUUCACAAACAACUCUUCACAAUUCAGUAUUCUUCAAUAGACUAUGACGUAAAGAGUUGAAGACUCGUGAAUGAAUUUCAAUUCCUAAGUAGUAAAAGUUUAGUAAAUAUAAAUUAAUAAAUUUAGUCUUUAUUUUAAAUUUAAUAUAUCUUCGUUUGUUGUGAAGAGUCUCACAUUAGAUGUGAGGUGAAGUUAAAAAUCUCGCAUCAGAGGUUAGAUGGUAAUGAUAUGAACACGAGUUAUAUGUAGAGAUAAUUUUCACCUUACAAAUUAGUUUUGUAGGGUUGAGUUAGACUUUUAAUUCUAAUAUGAUAUUAGAACUUCGUCAAAAUCUAUUGGGCCGCUUACUGUCAAUUUUCACUUUCGGUUCACCCACCAUCUAUAUUGACGAACCAAGUCUAAUAGUGUUGGGCAUGAGGUGUGUUAAGAGUCUCAUAUCGGAUGAGAGAAGACCUAAAAAUGAGUUUAUAAUCAGAGACGAUCUUCACUUUACAAGUAGAGACAAUCUUCACAUAGCAAAUCGGUUUUGUAGGAUUGAGUUAGGUCUAACUCUAAUUCUAAAAUUGUUGAUCGACUUUUCUUUUUUAUAUUGAAUUAUAUACUAUCAAGUUGAUCAUUGAUCAUGAUAUAAUUAUAGAACUAUAGGAAAUUCUUGAUGCAUUUACCCGAUUUGGAGCAAGGAUAUAGAUCUCCUGGUUGACCAUUUAUAGUGAUAGCAUCAGAUAUGUUUGGGGCUCCCCCACUUUCAAUAAAUUCUGUAAGAACCUCGUUAACAUCACUCUUCCACCAUUCACCUAGUAUGAAAAAUUAAAAUGUUAAAAAAUAAUAAUAUCCAUUUCUAUUAAACUAAACACUAAUACAUAUAUUCCCUUUGUAUUUGGUCAACAAAAGUGAAUGUAUUUGGUCCAAAUCUUUAAUCAAAUACAUUGAGUUUUUUUGACUCAUUUUUCUUAUAUUUCGGGACGGAGAGAGUAUAUGAUACGAUCAAUAACAAAAUAAAUUCAUACCAAAUAUGAUGGGUAUCUCUCCAUAAGGUUUAGGAAAAGGGUAGCUACUAUUAAUUUUAGGAUAGAUAAUGAUAGCCCCAUGGACAGUUGCUCUAGUCCAAUCACUAUGUGCAUGCCACCAUAUAGUCCCUUCUUCUACUGAAAAAGCCACUUUUUGUGUAAAUAUUUCUCCAGGUUGAAUUGGACAUUGAGUUAUGUACUCAGGACCAUCUGACCAAGGAUUCCUAGGCUGCUUCACUCCAUGCCUGUCCAUUUAAUCAAUUAUACUAUAAUUAAGAACUUAAUUAAUUUACCAUCCAUGAUGUUGUG